rnacentral:rRNA from 1 species
CAGUCGCCACGGGAAUACGAAGGGGGCUAGCGUUGCUCGGAAUCACUGGGCGUAAAGGGUGCGUAGGCGGGUCUUUAAGUCAGGGGUGAAAUCCUGGAGCUCAACUCCAGAACUGCCUUUGAUACUGAAGAUCUUGAGUUCGGGAGAGGUGAGUGGAACUGCGAGUGUAGAGGUGAAAUUCGUAGAUAUUCGCACGAACACCAGUGGCGAAGGCGGCUCACUGGCCCGAUACUGACGCUGAGGCACGAAAGCGUGGGGAGCAAACAGGAUUAGAUACCCCUGUAGUCCCUGUCUCUUAUAA